rnacentral:rRNA from 1 species
UACGUAGGGGGCAAGCGUUGUCCGGAUUUAUUGGGCGUAAAGAGCGUGUAGGCGGCUAGGUAGGUCCGUUGUGAAAACUCGAGGCUCAACCUCGAGACGUCGAUGGAAACCAUCUAGCUAGAGUCCGGAAGAGGAGAGUGGAAUUCCGUGGUGUAGCGGUGAAAUGCGCAGAUAUCAGGAAGAACACCGAUGGCGAAGGCAGGUCUCUGGGCCAUAACUGACGCUGAGAAGCGAAAGCAUGGGGAGCGAACAGG